rnacentral:rRNA from 1 species
GGGUCCGGACACACUGAGGAUUGACAGGCAAUAUUAAUACGUUUUGCUUCGGUAAACGCGUAUUAUGUUAAAUAUGCUAGUCCUUUCAUGAUUAUGUGAUAGGUGGUGCAUGGCCGUUCUUAGUUCGUGGAGUGAUCUGUCUGCUUAAUUGCGUUUCACUAAGGGCCUAUAAAUUUACGUGUGUUGCAUCGCACUUUGACCCCUUUCUUUAAUUAGAGAGCGCGUGUCUUAGUUUUCGCUUUGCUCAUACAAUUAGGUCCUGAAAGCAACGAACGUGACCGCAACCUCUUGUUGCCUUUAUACCAAACAUGUUUUGCGUCAAUUUUUACGAAUUGCGCGCAUUUCAUGAAAAAAGGCUUUUUAAACUAGAGGGACCGCUGUUACUUUCUUAGACCAGAGGAAGGUUGCGGCAAUAACAGGUCUGUGAUGCCCUUAGAUGUUCCGGGCUGCACACGUGCUACAAUGAUUAUUGCAGUGAGCAUCUCAUUUUUACACACCGCAUGCGCGAGUCCAUUUAUUCACCUUCGGGUGUUUUAAAUGUGUAUCUCUGCGCGCGGUAAAGCCUGCUUCGACAGUAAGUGGGU